UAAGGCUCCCAGUAGACGACUGGGUUGAUAGGCCAGAUGUGGAAGCCCGGUAACGGGUGGAGCUGACUGGUACUAAUAGGCCGAGGGCUUGUCCUCAGUUG
rnacentral:rRNA from 3 species